CUUUCGGAGCUGUGCGGCAGGCUGAGCAGGAAUGGCAAUGUGGACCUCUGUGAUGGGACAACUGGUGGGAUCUCACAUCCAGUUCUGUGUCAAAGGAGGAUGAAGACUAAGGACUCAUGAGGAAGCUGGAUUACUGGACGAGAGCAAUGUAAGCAAUUUUUUUGUAUGCAUGUGGUCCCACUACAAGAGGCCCCUCAACCCACACAUCAAUGUAGAGUUCCAUGAAAGCAAUUGUAGAGAAGAGUGGGUGGGAGAUCUGAAGCCAGACAGGGCAUUGUGUGUCUAGGUAUCUGAAGAGGCUGGUUCUUGAUAACUCUGGGAGCUAGUGUGAUUGAACACAGGAUUUAUAAUUGUGCUAUUUAGACCAGAUUUGGUGGGCACUUUCCCUAUCUUAAGUGCUGAGUCAGGUCUAACAGGGCAGUUUUAACUAUUUGUUUGAUCUUGUAGGUUCUAGAAGGGAAGACCAGAAAAUGAGAUGGUGGAGUUUAAUAAGGCUGGACAGACAGUUUUGAAAACACAAAUGGUUUGAAUAAAGAAAGGUAUUACACAUGGAUCCCCUCAGUUGAAGGCACUGAUGGGUCUUUCUGAAUUUCUGGUCCUUCUGAAUUUCAAGGGCUCCUGUGACAAGUAGACAUGGCAGUGACUUCACCAUUUUGUUUCUGAGGUGCCUGGAUGGAGACUCAAAUAGAAGAUGGUGUCAGAUACAUUGUGUUGUCAAGAUUUUACCAUUAAAGUGUGUUAUAAAC
ensembl:processed_transcript